AUGGGGCACCCUCCAGACACCCACAGUGCCCGCACCCCAGCGGGCACCACAGCCGCUCCUGGGCUCACACCGGACCUCACCACCCCCAUCCCCUGGCUCCGCUGGGCACUCGUGGCCGCCGCCGUGGUAGCGGGCAUCCUCCUUGCUUCCUGCCUGCUCUGCACCGUCCGCUGCUGCCGCCGUGGGCGCCGCAGGAAGAGGCCCAGAGACAAGCAGGCUGUGGUCCCGGGCACCACCGAGCUCACCACCACCACCCACCUGGUGCAGCCGGAGUUGGGUAACGUGGCAUCUGGACCUGGAGGGGCCCAGCAGUGGGGGCGCCUGCAGCUGUCCCUGGAGUAUGACUCUGGAAGCCAGGAGAUCCGGGUGGGCCUCAAGCAGGCCGCGGACCUGAGGCCCGGGGCCCCGGGCGGCACGGCGCACCCCUACGCCCGCCUGAGCCUGUCCCCGGACGCUGGGCGCGUGCACGAGACGAAGGUGCAUCGUGGCACGCUGUGCCCCGCGUUCGAGGAGACCUGCUCCUUCCACGUGCCGCCUGUGGAGCUGCCCAGGACCACCCUGCGUGUGCUGCUCCUGGACCACAGGCGCCUCUCCCAGCACCGGCCGCUGGGCGCGCUCAGCCUGCCGCUGGGCUCCGUGGACCUGCAGCACGUGCUGGAGCUCUGGCGCCCACUGGGCCCGCCCGCUGCGGCUGAGCCUGAGCAGACGGAGGAGCUCUGCUUCUCGCUCCACUACGUGCCCGGCUCCGGCCGGCUGACUGUGGUCGUGCUGGAGGCCCGAGGCCUGAGCCCUGUGCUGGCAGACCCCUACGUGAAGAUCCAGCUCAUGCUGAACCAGAGGAAGUGGAAAAGGAGAAAGACGUCGGCCAGGAAGGGCACGGCCACCCCUUACUUCAACGAGGCCUUCACCUUCCUCGUGCCCUUCAGCCAGAUCCAGAGCGUGGAUCUGGUGCUGGCCGUCUGGGCCCAGGGCCCACAGCUGCGGGCCGAGCCUGUCGGCAAGGUGCUGCUGGGCGCCCGGGCCUCUGGGCAGCCUCUCCAGCACUGGGCGGACAUGCUGGCCCAGGCCCGGCGGCCCGUCGCCCAGUGGCACCGCCUGCAGCCAGCCAGGGAGGUGGACCAGGCCCUGGCCUUGCAGUCCCGCCUGCGUCUGCCCUUGCCUGGCUUCUGAGGGCAGCCCUGGGCCUGGGCCUCCCCGUGCGCAUUGCCCCAGGGCCCGCGGCAAUAAACGCCUCCCCUCCACCA
rnacentral:lncRNA from 1 species